AUUUCAGUGUAGCCACUUCCUCUUUCCUCCACUAAGCUGGUCAAACUUAAUGGAGUCUGGACCUGGCCAAAAAUUUCUAUGAGUCUUCUAUGAUGGGAAAAUAUAUCUGAACGCAUGAUGAGUCUAAGUAGAAAACCCAUCAAUGAGUAGAAGAUGUCAAUUCAUUUAUACCCUAAGAUAAAGAAACUGAGAUGCAAAGGAGAGGCUUAAUUUAUCCAAGGUCAUAUAGUUCCUGAAUGGAACACUUGGGUCCAGAAUCUAGAUAUUCUAACUUCCAGUCUAGAGCUCUGUGUUCUAUGCCAUGUUUCCCUCCCAAAUGUACUACAAUCCAAGCUCUGAAAUAGAAUAAUAAACUGUAGGAAAACUA